AUGAGAGAGAAGGCAGACCCCCCCCAAAAAAAAUCAGGCACCCCUCUGCCCCAGGUGCUCGGCUCUUAUGAGUUCCCCAAGGGGCUUAGAGGGGCUUGUGUGGCCCCCUUGGUAAGGGGCGAAGGCUUGGGCGUAGAGAGCAGAAUCGUUGUGUUCCUUCCUAGAACAUCGCCUCUCCUCACAAGUGCACUUCCCCGGUGGCCGUGGCAUGAAGCUGGAAGAAGCCAUCCGGCGCUACCUGGGCAACUUCACCGUCAGCUUGUGGCUCCGAAGCCUCUCCGCCGGCCACCCCAAGAUGUGUGUGGUCAGCUAUGCCCUGAAGUGGAAGCCGCCAGAAUUUGCCCUCUUCCUCCUGUCCCCUUGGGGGCUGGAGUUCCACCUCAAGGGGUGAGGCUUGGCUGGGAUCCGGGCCCGGGCUGGUGGCUGUGUCCCCUUUGCCAGAAGGAAAGGCUGAAAGGGACAUGUGGAAUAGCGAGGAGGUCGGUCCCUUCUCCGGACCCCUUGCGGACCCCGUCUGUUCGUUGCAGGGCCGUGAUGUUCUGCGAGACCCGUGGGGCUCUUCUGGACGGAUCCUGGCAUCACGUGGCCGUCUCCGUCUCUAGCGCUCCCAACCCACUCCCCGUCCAGGUCUUUGUGGACGGGGAGCCCUGGGACCCCAGUUCUGCCAGCGGCGGGCACCGUUCCUGGAAGAAGGGGCUGCCCUUGGGGGGGACGCUGUGCGUGGGGCAGCUGGAGAUCGACGGCAGGGGUGAGUCUCGGGGAAGGCCUUGGGCCGUCUGGUUCGGGCGUCGGGGGGGGGUUGGACACAGGUCCAGAGUGAGCCAGGGGGUCCCCAAAGGCUGCAGGAAGGCCUUCUUGCGUUUUGGAGUCAGCGAAGGAGUACCUGUCGCUGGGGGGGGGGGAGACCACCUGGUCAGGCGGAUCAGAGGCUGGGCGUCUCAAAUCGCUGGGCGGUGGGUGGGAGCAGAGCGCUCGUCCAUAGGUUUGAUCCCCGGCUGCCUCUCCUGGGAGAAAGCUCAGGAAGGAGAAAGAUGA
rnacentral:lncRNA from 1 species